CCAUCUUCUAAAAUUUUGCUUCUUCUCCACAUCAUCCUGAUCCUGGUUAUCUCAGCUGAACAGAGAGCUGGGAUCUCUCCCAGCUUGUUUUCUCGCCUGGAUGGGAAAGCCUGAGGCCAUCGGCGGGGUUCACAUCCCUACAGCCUGCUGCAGGCUGGCAGGUGGCAGCACGCCGGAGCCCCUCGCCCCAUCUCCCAAAUGCUCCAUGGACAAGUUAAAGCUUUCAUGGCUGCUUGUGCAGGGGUAAAGGCUGUCCCAGUUUCAGUUUAAAUCCAUCAGGAUGCCAUCCCACAGCCACAGUAAAUAAAACCUCUGACCUCACUUCCCCAAAGCCAAGGUGGGCAGUUGUCCCUAUGGCUGCUGCGUUGCACCAGCAACAUGGGCAGAGUUGCUGCAGUAUUUUGCACCCCCAGACCUGGGACUCUGGCAGCCUGGAUUACCUCUCAGAGACCACUGAAAAGUUUUUAGGGAUUGUCCCAGUAAAAUGAGUCUAAAACCCACAGUUCUGCCACGGCUUUCAUAUACUUUGCUUCCCAAGACAAAGGUUGU